rnacentral:rRNA from 2 species
UCUGGUGUCAUCCGCCGCGGCAAAACCUGCACCUCAAGUGGUCUGGAUGAUUAUUGGGCCUAAAGCAUCCGUAGCCUGUUCAUGUAAUUUUCCAGUUAAAUCCAUUAACUUAACUAAUGGGCUGCCGAAAAUACUGCAUAACUACGGAGUGGGAGAGGUAGACGGUACUCGAUAGGAAGGGGUAAAAUCCUUUGAUCUAUUGAUGACCACCUGUGGCGAAGGCAGUCUACCACAACACACUUCAGACGGUGAGGGAUGAAAGCUGGGGGAGCAAACCGGAUUACAUACCCGGGUAGUCCCAGCUGUAAACGAUGCAGACUCGGUGAUGCCCUGGCUUGUGGCCAAUGCAUUGCCGCAGGGAAGCCGUUGACUUUGCCGCCUGGGAAGUACGUACGCAAGUAUGAAACUUAAAG